AAUCAACGCUGGCGGCGUGCCUCAGACAUGCAAGUCGAACGAGAAAGUUCCCUUCGGGGAAUGAGUAAAGUGGCGCACGGGUGAGUAACACGUAGGUAAUCUACCUUCGGGUGGGGAAUAACCCAGGGAAACUUGGGCUAACACCGCAUAAUGCAGCGGCACCACAUGGUGACAGUUGUUAAAGCGGGGGAUUUUAGGACCUCGCGCCUGAAGAGGAGCCUGCGGCGGAUUAGCNGUUGGUAAGGUAACGGCUUACCAAGGCGACGAUCCGUAGCCGGCCUGAGAGGGCGGUCGGCCACACUGACACUGACAUACGGGUCAGACUCCUACGGGAGGCAGCAGUCGGGAAUUUUGGGCAAUGGGCGAAAGCCUGACCCAG
rnacentral:rRNA from 1 species